UACGGAGGAUGCAAGCGUUAUCCGGAAUGAUUGGGCGUAAAGCGUCCGCAGGUGGCUGUGUAAGUCUGCUGUCAAAGAGCGAAGCUCAACUUCGUAAAGGCAGUGGAAACUACACGGCUAGAGUGCGUUCGGGGCAGAGGGAAUUCCUGGCGUAGCGGUGAAAUGCGUAGAGAUCAGGAAGAACACCGGUGGCGAAGGCGCUCUGCUAGGCCGCAACUGACACUGAGGGACGAAAGCUAGGGGAGCGAAUGGG
rnacentral:rRNA from 1 species